UGCCCACCUUCAACCUCAGCAACCCAAAACCCGACCCGCAUCGUCUUCUCUUCUUCUAGCGCAUGAACGGCAAAUACAUAGCAUUAUUAGACGAUCUCGCUACGUGACAAAAGCAAUGGGUAUAGCGUGAAGAGAGAGUUCACGGUGAUACACACAAGUUACACGAUAAAUCGAGCAACUGUUUUUGCAUUUUUAUCUUCCAUUAGCUUUAUCCAUACAACAGAGCGGUUCCAAACCUUCAACCUCGUCCUUGACUUGUGUGAAUGAAGGCCACGUCAACCACAAGGACGAUUGGGUUGAAUCCAGGCGGUCCGUUCCCUGCAUCCUCACAAUUUUGAGGGAUUUUUGGGUGGAAUUCUCGUCAAAAGAUAGUUGUUCUUUGGCCCUUGAAAAUUUGAAUUGAUACUUUUAUUUUGGGGAUUCCAAGUUUUCCCUUUUUCCCCCAAAAUCUCAAACCUAAUUUCCCAUCUAUAUAUUCUUUUUCAUUCACUAUAAGAAGGGAGGAGAAAUUUUUGGAAAAAAAAGGGAGAAGGGGAAGAAAGAUUUUUAAUCGGAAGUUUUUUUAUCAUAGAGAGUUUGAGGAAAUUUCUGGAGAAGAUCGAUAUAGAGAUAUAGUGAGGCGUCCUAGGCAAAACUUAGUUGCCGACGAAGUAUUAUGCUUUUUUUUUGCGUGCGAGUUCCUGUUAGGGUGGUGGAAGCCGGUCCCUGUCUAGCUCGUUGUUAUCCCACUCGUUGCGCCAAAGAAGCUUUGAUGAGUUAGCGAUGGCUUCUAAUAUAGCCUUUGGUAGCCAAAAUCCAAGUCUUUCAAUCGAGGUUGCACGAUCAAGUACCAAUGGUUCCCGUAAUGUGAUCUGAAUGCCAUCAUAUGUCUUUCAAACCUCGGGAGAACCAUCCUAAGCCAGCAACAACAACAUCGAUGCUCUUGACAUCCCAGCUCAUUCCACGUGCUUUUACUUCUAUCUUUUGCCAUUGUCCCAACUCAGAAACUUGCUCCAUGGAAUGGGAGGCUGAAGAUUUAAACACAAAACGCAAAUAAGGUAUGGGGCCUCUUAACAGAAAGUAACAUGUUGGACUUGGUAUUUACUCAUUGAUUCUACACUUGUAUAGGUUUCUAUCCCGAAUUCGUGUAAUUGCUCUUAUUCUUGUUACAUCUGAGGCAUUUUGAGGAUACAUUGAGAGGUUGUUGCUUGUCAUCCUAGCGGACUCUCUUGUUUCUUACCUUAUGCUUUGUUUUAUUUGAGAUACAAUGACAUUGGAACUUGUUAUUGUCUUUUAA